UGGAAGUGCCGAUUACCAUUGACUCUGGUAGUAACGCAGACUUCAUAGGACUGGAUUUCCUUCAAGAGCACAACAUAGCACUCCUGCCAGCCACGCUGCCUCUGAAAGUUGUCACGGUGGAUGGCAGGGAAUUGCUGGGGGGGCAGGUGGUGCAGCAAACGCCUCCGAUGGUGAUGCAAAUUGGGAAUCACCGAGAAGUCAUCAGCUUCAAUGUCACCCAACUGUCGGACACGCCUAUAGUAUUAGGCAUGAGUUGGCUGCACAGGCACAGCCCAGCAUUG